CNUGCNUGUCUAAGUACAGAGACUCGUAUUCUNAAACCGCGGAUGGCUCAUUAUAACAGCUAUGAUUUGAGAGAAAUAAUCUAUUUUCCCCAAUUUAUCUCUGGGAAAAUUCUAGAUCUAACCUUAUUAAAAGCCCUGACACUCCAAACGCCGCAGUUUUUUUAUAACAAACCACCCGUUUCUGCAAAGACUUUUUCUUAAUCACUCUGAAUACCUUUACCAAUCAAACACCCUUGUGKYGACGAURAUUUUCUUGAANAGGCUCACCUAUCAACNUUCGAUGNUAACAUCAANGCUUNCCMUGGUUGCAACGGRWANCGGGNAAUCAGUGUUCUAUUCCGAAGAGGGACCUUAAAAAACGGYUCCCACMUCCNCGGANGGCAGCAGGGGSNUANAUYMCCCAACACCGGCUCGGNGAGGUAGNGACAAUAANNWACCAUWUGGCCCNUAGNKGUUUCAUANUUGCAAUGANRAUWUUCUAAANACUUUNUCMAGUMUCAAUUGGAGGGCAAGUCUNGKSCCAGCAGCCGCGGUNAUUCCAGCUCCAAAAGCGUAUNWUAAAGUUUGUGCAGNUAAAAAGCUCGUAGUGAAAUUURGGKWNCNAGAAAANUUUGAAAUCNNUUGAUUGAUAAUUGAUCGNUCCUUCGACGUCGCGUAUUUUUUUUGGUACUUUACUGKAUCGGAAAAAUAACCGGCAAGUUUACUUUGAAAAAAUUAGAGUGCUUAAAGCAGGCUUAUGCUUGUAUAUUGUUGCAUGGAAUAAUAAAAUAUGACUUCGGUUUUAUUUUGUUGGUUUUCGAAACUGAAGUAAUGAUUAAAAGAGACUGCCGGGGGCAUAUGUAUGCUGGUGUUAGAGGUGAAAUUCUUAGAUCAUCGGCAGACAAACUACUGCGAAAGCAUUUGCCAAGAAUGUUUUCAUUAAUCAAGAACGAAAGUCAGAGGAUCGAAGACGAUCAGAUACCGUCCUAGUUCUGACCAUAAACUAUGCCAACUGACAGUUAGCUAAGGUAUAUAAAUUUCCUUGCUAGAAGUCACCGGGAAACCAAAGUCUAUGGGUUCCGGGGGAAGUAUGGUUGCAAAGCUGAAACUUAAAGGAAUUGACGGAAGGGCACCACAAGGAGUGGAGCCUGCGGCUUAAUUUGACUCAACACGGGAAAUCUCACCCGGUCCGGACACUGUGAGGAUUGACAGAUUGAUAGCUCUUUCUUGAUUCGGUGGGUGGUGGUGCAUGGCCGUUCUUAGUUGGUGGAGCGAUUUGUCUGGUUAAUUCCGAUAACGAACGAGACUCGAGCCUGCUAAAUAGUAUGUCUGUGUUAAAUCGCAGAUAANUGACUUCUUAGAGGAAUUAAUAGCGUUUAGCUAAAUGAAAAUGAGCAAUAACAGGUCUGUGAUGCCCUUAGAUGUCCGGGGCCGCACGCGCGCUACAAUGUCAGUAACAACGAGUUUUAUUCCUAACUAGAAAUGGUAGGGUAAUCUGUUGAAUCACUGUCGUAUCAGGAAUAGUGGUUUGAAAUUUUUCCACUUGAACGAGGAAUUCCUAGUAAGCGCAAGUCACUAACUUGCGCUGAUUACGUCCCUGCCCUUUGUACACACCGCCCGUCGCUACUACCGAUUGAAUGGUUUAGUGAGAUUGUUGGAUUCUAAUCUAAUUAAUGGUAACAUUUCU
rnacentral:rRNA from 1 species